AACUUUCCCAUCCUACAGAUCCAGCUCUGUGUUCCAGAAAUAAAAUUUUCCAUUUUGUUUGAUUUGCAUAAAUUACAACUUAAAAUGUUUUUUAGGGUGAACCAGGAAAACCCGGAGCUCCAGGUGAUGCAGGGCUUCAGGGACUGCCAGGUUUACCAGGCUCUCCAGGUGUAAAGGGCAUUCCUGGCCCAAAGGGUAACAGAGGUCCACCUGGUGUGCCAGGUUUGAUGGGAAAUUCUGGUAAACCGGGUGAACGGGGGCCAGAGGGAGAAGCAGGUCCGACAGGACCCCGGGGGCCACCAGGCAGCAGAGGGGAGCCAGGUCCUUCAGGUCCUCCAGGUUUACCAGGGAAAUUGGUAAGCAGUUUAUUUCCAUAUUCAGUGCUUGUAUUUACUUUCAAGAAGCUAUGGUAUCAUCUGGAACUACACUUACCCAUUUAUCUGUGCAGGGAACUGAAAAUAAUGUUGAAACGAGUGACUGUUGAGUUUCUUUUUCAGUCCUCUGUGACUGUGCUAAUAUUAGCAAAUGCUGUUUUAAAGUAUAUGGAGAUGUGUGGGACUUUUUCUUCGGUUUAAAAAACCAUAAAUCCUGUGAUGUGCAAAGUUGGGUUGCACACUCUUGUGUGGACUGUGUGUACUGGGGGAAUGGGAGCAGUGAAAGACCAGCUUUCUGCUAACAGCUGCAUGAAACUAAUGAAUGGAGAGGAUUAUGAAUACCACCUUUUACCAGAGCUCUAGCAGUGUUUACACAGUAACAGUCAGAAACAUCGCUGGCUGAAAGAACCUGCUGUUACAGAGGAAUGCACAAAUCAUAGAGCACAAGGUCUUAGGAGGUAUUUUUAAGAGAACCAGACUGUCGUUGAGGGACUGGAGGGUAGAU
rnacentral:lncRNA from 1 species